UACACAAAAGCACCCAAAUCCUUGGUUAUUCGGGUGGUAAAAUUGGGUUGACCCGUUUACGACCCGACCCAUGUAAUUCAACUCAUACCGAUUAUAAACGGGUCGGGCCGGGUUGAUGCCUUGAUGGGUAGGAAAAAUUGCCACCCCUAGCUGUGUUUCAUUUCAGUUACGCACUUGCAAGGCUUCAAGAUGCCGUCGAGAAGCAAGCCUGUACAAUCGUGUUAGAGCAGCAUCCAAAUUAUGUACCCGAAGAUGAAAAUCAAGAUGAACUCGAGGAUCCUGAUGAGAAUAGUAAUUCUUCAAGAGGGACAACUUCUGAAAUGAGGGAAGCUCGUGAUAACAUUGCUCACUUAUUAUGAGAGUCAAUGUGAUAAAUUGUUUUUACAUUAGCUGUUUUUGGCGAUGCAUAGACGAGAGAUCCUUGUUUUUGGAAA